CACUCUAGAGAGACUGCCAGGGAUAACCUGGAGGAAGGUGGGGAUGACGUCAAAUCAUCAUGCCCCUUAUGCUUAGGGCUACACACGUGCUACAAUGGGUAGUACAGAGGGUUGCCAAGCCGUAAGGUGGAGCUAAUCCCUUAAAGCUACUCUUAGUUCGGAUUGUAGGCUGAAACUCGCCUACAUGAAGCUGGAGUUACUAGUAAUCGCAGAUCAGAAUGCUGCGGUGAAUGCGUUCCCGGGUCUUGUACACACCGCCCGUCACCCCACGGGAGUUGGAGACGCCCGAAGCCGAUUAUCUAACCUUUUGGAAGAAGUCGUCGAAGGUGGAAUCAAUAACUGGGGUGAAGUCGUAACAAGGUAGCCGUAUCGGAAGGUGCGGCUGGAUCACCUCCUUUCUAAGGAGA
rnacentral:rRNA from 1 species